GUUCUGAGUGGAGCACAGAGUGACGUCUCUCUGGAGGCUCGUCAUCUACUCUGCAUUUUCAGUGCACUCAUUCAUUUUUUAACACCCACUUUUUCCUUUCAGGGUCAGCCUACCCAAGUAAGGACUGGGUGGAAGGAAGAGAAGCAUCCCAGACAGGCAGCUGAUGAUGUGAGGGGCGAGCGAAGAACAACAUCCACACUCCACAUCAACAGCAAACCAAACAGGUGACCAGAUGCCUUUUACAAAACCAGGAUUUGACACAGAAUCUCCAAUUGGCAAGAUCGGCUCCACAUAAUGAAAACCGGAGGCAACCUAACGGUGAGAUUCAACACGUGCACACAGUCCUUCAUAAGCACACCCACACAACAAAUCCUUUGCAAACCAUCAAACAAAUGAUGCACCUUAGCUCUUGUGCAGACUCAUCAGUAAGUGUGCGCCGUAGGGCUGAGCAGCUCCAGUUUGCAUGUUAACUCGACCCAGCCUUCCGGACAGAGCAUGAAAAGCAGCUGCAGGUCGCUGACGGAGGCUGAACGGCUAUUUGAGCAAUUCUACUGUACAUUUAACAUGGACACACUGACGUGAGAUGGCAUAAUCACAACACCCCCCUCCCCACACACACACACACACACACACAUUCACAUGAAGCCAUAUUCAUGUCGUGCCAUUUUUAAAGUCAUGAAUAUUUACUUAAUUACUUGAUAAAAAUCCAUAACUGUCCAUUUAGUAGCUGUUGAGAGAUUUGAGUCACCAGCCCCAGCGCCUUGCUAGUGGCUGAAAACCAUUAAAUUGGAACAAAUGUGCAAAUAUGACUUCAAAUGAAUGUUUUUCAUGCUAAUGCCUGACAUACACUCUGUGACAUUGAGAGAGAACAAAGGCGAUGCAGAGUGAGGUCUGACAACAACAUGAACGGGGUGACGCCUGCAGCCACUUUAGGAAAACAAGUUGACUUCUUACCGACAGCUCUGAUUUUUAUCAUUGACCCCCUGAUCUCCCACUGUGGCCAGCUUCAAGUAUCUGCUUUUGGAGAGUGAAGGGGUCAGGGCCUGUACCAGCUCCAGCAAAUGCGAUUUGUUUAAUCAGGUGAAAAAAUCAGGUACUUUACAUGAGCGACUAGAAGAAGAGACUGAAGUCUCGAUUAAAGACACCACACACCGAACUUGAUCAGGUGGAUGAGAACUGUAGACUACAGGGACUGUUUAACUUUCCCUAGAUGGCUCUUUACUGGACAUCUGCCAUGGGGUCAAACUGCUGUGGUUAAGUC
ensembl:lncRNA